CAGCAGCCACGGUAAUACGUAGGGUGCAAGCGUUAAUCGGAAUUACUGGGCGUAAAGCGUGCGCAGGCGGUUAUAUAAGACAGUUGUGAAAUCCCCGGGCUCAACCUGGGAACUGCAUUUGUGACUGUAUAGCUAGAGUACGGCAGAGGGGGAUGGAAUUCCGCGUGUAGCAGUGAAAUGCGUAGAUAUGCGGAGGAACACCGAUGGCGAAGGCAAUCCCCUGGGCCUGUACUGACGCUCAUGCACGAAAGCGUGGGGAGCAAACAGGAUUAGAUACCCCUGUAGUCCCUGUCUCUUAUAU
rnacentral:rRNA from 1 species